rnacentral:misc_RNA from 1 species
GGUUUCACUCCUCGCUGCUGGAAAGCUGCGGCACCCGCGGCCGCGCGCCGUAUGACGUGGUGCUGACUCACGGCUUCACGCUCGACGAGAACGGCCGCAAGAUGUCGAAGUCGCUCGGCAACACCACCGAGCCGCAGAAGGUGAUCUCGCAGNGCGCCGACAUCCUGCGGCUGUGGGUUUGCGCGACCGACUAUGCCGACGACCAGCGCAUCGG